AGUGAGAGGAGACUCUGCCUCCGGUUGGUGGCUGCUGGCUAGCUCUGCAUCCUUAUCUCCUGGAAGUGCAACUCUCCACAAAGUUGCCUGGAGGAGACACGGAUCCCUGCAGAAUAAGACCUCUGCUUGCUCCGGUCAACUCCGCUCCCUGUAGCUGACUUCAGACACACCAGAAGAGGGCGUCAGAUCUCAUUAUGGGUGGUUGUGAGCCACCAUGUGGUUUCCGGGAUUUGAACUCAGGACCUUCGGAAGAGCAGUCAGUGCUCUUACCCGCUGAGCCAUCUCGCCAGUCCAAGACUACUUUUUCAAAAGGGCAAAUUCAUUGAAAACAAAGAAGGGAGAGUCCAGCGCAUCUGGCCGAGGGAGGAUUUAACUUGAAGAUGACUUUAUGUUAAGUCUCAAAGGAGCACCAACACAGGCUGAGAAACCUUUAAAGGAAGCACGUGACACCGGAGUGUCAGAAGCUGGACCCAAGAAGACUGUCACUCACCCUCAUGGGACGAAGGUGUGGGCAGGGGACAGAUGCACGCCGUGGUGCACGCUGUGGCGCAUGCAUAGAGGCCAGAGGAUGGAUAACUUCAGAGAGUCAGUUCUCUCCUUCCAGCACCUGAGUGGCCUCCUUGUAGAAGCCCUUGUUUACAGCAUCAAGGACUUGCUCUGCAAUGUCGGACACCUCGGCCAAGCCUUGAUUAUCAAGGAGAGACUGGAAGAUAAACAGAGGUCAAAAAGCCCACUUGAUUAGGGAGUGAGGAUCUGGUACCACUGUAGCUGGUGAGGAGAGAGAGAGAGCAAGAGAUGGAAAAAUGGGAGCUU
rnacentral:lncRNA from 1 species